CCCUUAGAUGUUCUGGGCCGCACGCGCGCUACACUGACUGGUGCAACAAGUGUCUGACCUUGGCUCGAGAGGCCUGGGCAACCUUUGAACGCCAGUCGUGCUGGGGAUAGAUUCUUGCAAUUAUUAAUCUUCAACGAGGAAUUCCUAGUAAACGCAAGUCAUCAGCUUGCAUUGAUUACGUCCCUGCCCUUUGUACACACCGCCCGUCGCUGCCCGGAACUGAGCCAUUUCGAGAAAAAUGGGGACAGACUGCUUGUGGGUGCGCAAGCACUUCUUGCAGAUUGAAACCAUCUUGAUCGGUAUGGCUUGAACCGGGCAAAAGUCGUAACA
rnacentral:rRNA from 1 species